rnacentral:lncRNA from 1 species
CCAAGGUUCUAUUUUUAGCCAUGGCGGCCAUCUUGAUUGGAUGGCUGGGUCGCUGGACACAUUUUUCAAACUACAUACCCCAAAGAUGGUUGUGGCCAAGUUUGGAUUGAUUUCGCCAAGUAGUUUCAGAGGAGAAGAUUUUUGUAAAAGAUCACUAAGAUUUACGAAAAAUGGUUAAAAAUUGACUAUAAAGGGCAAUAACUCCUAAAGGGGUCAACUGACCAUUUCGGUCAUUUUGACUUAUUUGUAAAUAUUACUUUGCUG